GACCACAGUUUGAGCAAGAUGGCUAUUGCCUCAUCUCCUAGUGCUUAAAAACCACUAGAGACCACUGUCUUGUGGUCUCCUCACAAGGAGCAACUGUCUGGAGCACUUGUGAGCGAUCUCCUGUCCUCUUUUUCCAGAGAUGUUCGAAAAGCCAGUCUACUCAUCGGUUCUUCGUUCUUCGCCACAGUCAUAGGUUCCGUUUUUUGUGGAGCCAUCUUCAGUCCACCAUUUCUUCCUCUGGAAGUGCAGAUGUAUAACAGUUCUCUCAUAAGAAAAAAAUGAAUUCUUCUAUAAUGGUUAUAUAUAUUUAAAUGUAUAGUGGGACAUGAAAAUACAUAUGCAAUUCUGCUGGUUUAUUUUGCAAUUAGAAUUGCUGAGCAUCCUUCUAUUUCAGUGCAAGUGAUCUUUUCUUCUUCUUCAGGACUGUGCAGGAGUGAUCCUCUAUUCUGCAGAAUGUGCUACUCAAGUUGCUUUGGAUGGAAUCCAGUGUUUGGGGGGAAAUGGCUACAUCAAUGAUUAUCCCAUGGGACGUUUUUUACGUGAUGCCAAACUGUAUGAAAUUGGAGCAGGGACUAGUGAGGUGCGAAGAAUAAUUAUUGGUCGGUCAUUUAACGCUGCAUUUAAUUAAUAAGACUGGUGUAAAGAAGAAUUCAAACCAAGAGGCCUUUUCUUUUUAAACCUUCAACAAUGUACAACUCUUGUUCUGCAUCUGAUACCAGGAUACCCACCUCCAUUUGUCUUUUUUUUUAUUAUUAUGCUGCUAAAUUUGUUUAAGAACACGUGACAGUUACAGUUACAGUGGAGCAGAAUAGACAGUUCAAGUAGAAGAUGUGAAUAGCUGCCAUCAAGUCUUAUUGUAGAGGAUUGAGACUUCAUCCAGUUUGAAACAUUACUUAUGUAAGAAUCACUGGACUAGAUUUUUCCAUCUAACAUGUCACUUUUAUGAAUGGAAAUAGCAAGUGGGGUUCUAAUGCAUCCCACUUCCAAAAUGCUAGCACUUUGCAUGGAGAUCUUUUAUUACUGGAUUUUGUGAAAUUUUAAGUAUAUUUUGAAUAUUAAAGAGGCUGUUAUUAAAACAUUGUUAAAAUGUGAGGUAUGUAUUUCUGUGUAUUCUGUCUCAGUGCUAACUGAAAUAUAUUAGCACCACAUGAAGCUUUCAGUUAUUUGAUGGACUACCAUUUCCUGCUUGAUUCAUGUUACAGUGUCACCAUCUAUCACUCCAGAAGCAAUUAAAAUGUGAGGCAGCUGUUGACUGGGAGAGUGUUGGGUCUCUCUAAAGUUUCCCCUUGAUUAAUACAAGAUAUCACAAGUAGGGAAUUGGACCAAAUAGUGUGUGCCAUGCCAGACUACCUAUGGGACAGGCAAGAGUAAACUGCAUUAAGCUCAAGAAGGUGGUGCAAAAACUCCAUGACAAGACAGCCAGUCUGACUAGAGAAAAAAAUUGGCAAUUAAUUAUUUUUCCAAAUUCAGGAGCACCAACAACACAGGAUAUACUUUUUUUAAAAUACUCAUAUCCAAUUUUUCCUUUUUCUUCUAACCAAGUUAUAAAUAAAACAGUAUUGUUGUUCCUGACCUAAACUACUUUUGAUUGCAGUGCAAUCCACUUGAUUUAAUUAACUCUACAUUCUGGAAAUCAGUGCCUGACUUCAGAAUGCGUUUGAGAAUCACAAUAGAGCAAUUGUAUAUUUCACAGGCUGUACAUUUUUAAAGGGAAAUAUUAUAUUUGAAGAUGAGGUUUCUAGUACACUACUCUGUUAAAUAAGUUGUCCACAUCUGACCUCAUCAUCUGGGCACGUAUUCCAUAACAAUCCAUUUACAGUUUUUCCAGAUUACAUGUGAGCCUAUGAACUUUGGCUUCAUCUUUUUAAAGUAUUAAAAAAUAAAUAUGCAGCAUAGAAGCAAUUAUUCAAUGUAGAAAUGGGGUUCUAAAAUGCAAUAGUGUAACUUUCUCCUAUAUGUUGAGCUCAAAUAAUCAGUUACAGCACUUUUUCUUGAAGAUCAUGAAGUGUUAUCAUGUCAUAGUUCUAUCACCCAUAUUGAACUACUGUAAUGAAUAUAACCAAUUAAGCAAGGGAUUAUUAAUAAUUCAAAUCAAGCCAGAACCUUGUUCCAAAACUUACUACAUGGUACCUGGAGUAUGAGAAAACCAUAAUUCUUUAAAAAGUUUUUAAUCAAUCUUAUGAGAGUUUUCAUCAUUGGGAAGACUAUAUUGAUCUUUUUAUACAAAGGGUACUUUCUAUUCUUUCAAGCUGCUUUGGCUGUGGUAAAAACAUGGGGAAAUUGCUUGUAAAUUGGUGGCUUUGUAAGCUCACUAGUAUUAAUAAACUAUUAUAAAACAAA